rnacentral:SRP_RNA from 1 species
GCUGGGCACGGUAGCACGCACCUGUAGUCCCAGCUACUCGGGAGGCUGAGGCUGGAGGAUCGCUUGAGCUCAGGAGUUCUGGGCUGCAGUGCGCUAUGCCGAUCGGGUGUCUGCACUAAGUUCGGCAUCAAUAUGGUGACCUCCCGGGAGCGGGGGACCACCACGUUGCCUAAGGAGGGGUGAACCGGCCCAGGUUGGAAACGGAGCAGGUCAAAACUCCCGUGCUGAUUAGUAGUGGGAUCGCACCUGUGAAUAGCCACUGUACUCCAGCCUGGGCAACAUAGCGAGACCCCGUCU